rnacentral:rRNA from 1 species
UUAUUCUUAGCCAUAAAAAAAUUUGAAUUUACCAGAGCACUACGAACUAAAAAGUUUAAAACUCAAAGGGCUUGGCGGUGUUUUAGACCUCUUAGGGGAACCUGUCUCAUAAUCGACAAUCCACGUUAAACCUAACUCCUUUUUGCAUUCAGUAUGUAUACCAUCGUCGUCAGGUAACUUUUCAAAAAUUAGAAGUUAGCUAACAAACUAUUUAAGUUUAAACGUCAGAUCAAGGUGCAGUCGAUAAAAGGAGUGAGGAUGGGUUACAAUUAUGGAAUUAUAAAUACGGAAUAGUUAGAUGAAUUAAAUAACUAUGAAGGAGGACUUAAAAGUAAAAUAGAAUUAUAUAAGCAUAUUGAAUUAGGCUCUGAAACGUGCACACAC